AAUCUCCACAUUCAGAUUGUCUCUGGUUUCUGUCAAUAAUACACAGUGAGUGCUGCUUGUCAUUUGUGUGCUUCGAUUGUUUGCUUUACUGUUUCCUAACGUUUUAUUUUGGACUCUUGAAGGAAUUAAAUUCAAAAUAAGCUAUUCUAAUUUUAGUGACCGACGUAUUAUUAGUUAACUUUCUCUGUGCAUUUGCGUUAAUUAGUUUUGCAUGUGUGUGCAGCGGUGCGAUUAUAAUAAUUUAUUUAAAAUAAAUAAAACGCUUUAAUAAAUUAAUGUUUUUGAAUAAUAUAGACAUUAAAACCGGGCUGUAGUGUAACAUAACAAUACGCAAAUGCCAAUUGCGGGUAGAGUUUCGAUGACAAAUUCAGUUGGGGUGUGUUUGAGAGCGCGGUGGGACUAUGUUGUUUCUCAGUGCCUUAGCGAUCGGUAUGAUAAGUGGGCUGCAGAAUGUCACGACGGAGGUGCCGGCGCCGAGCAGUGACGGCAGCGCGGUCUCGAGCCCGGAGCGGGCGGUGAGCGACAUGGGUCUGGUGGAGCCCACUCGGUUGCCGGGGCAGGCGACGGACCUGGUCAAUGUGAGUGUGCACGAGCGGCCCUCGAUGUGGGACAUGUACCUGAACCACUGCCCGCGCUGGCGGCCGGUGAACCACGUGUUCUUCCAAGUGGCCAAUGUGUUUUUCCUGCUGUCGUUCCUGGCGCCGCACACGCCGAGCGGGCUGGUCUGGCUGCGGGUGGCCCUGAUGCUUGGGUGCGCCUUCUCCGGCAUGUGGGCGUGGAGCAUCGAGUGCUACCUCGACGCUGUGCUGUGGAACAGUGCAUUUAUUGUGAUAAACUUCAUUUACUUCUCCAUACAAUUUUAUUUGCUGCGCCCCAUCAAGUUCCACAAGGAUAUUGAGGAGGUUUACGUGGCGUUGUUCAAGCCUCUCCGUGUGUCGAGGAGGCAGUUCCGUCGUGUGCUCAUGUGUAUGCGCAACGUUAGGCACUUGAAGUGCCACGAACUGUAUGCGCACGAGAAGGUCACUAAAGUCGACAGCUUGUCUCUGGUGCUGUCGGGCAAACUAGUGGUGUCACAGAACCAGAGGGCGCUACACAUAGUGUUCCCUCAUCACUUCCUCGACUCGCCAGAAUGGUUUGGCGUGUCCACAGACGAGUUCUUUCAGGUGUCGAUAAUGGCGAUGGAAGAGUCCAGAGUGCUGGUGUGGCACCGAGACAAGCUGAAGCUCUCCAUCAUGUCAGACGCCUUCCUUCAGGCCGUGUUCGACCACAUACUGGGUCGGGAUGUUGUUCAUAAACUUAUGCAGGUGAGCGAAACAAUGGCGGUGUCGAACGGACAUCUGCCGAACAGCUACGAAGAAGGAGAAGACAAGCCAAUGCUGGUCGUCAAGAAAGCGGGAGAUGGGCCAGGCAUCACCGCUUUGCUUAACCGACAGCUGCAAGCGGGUCGAGAUUGCUAUGCGUGCUAGGCCGUGGGUCGUGUGCGUAACGUUGUGUUGUUGUGCGUGUCGAUGACUGCGGAGCCGCGCAGCGCCGCCUGCGCCACACCACGGACGACGAGCUUGCUCCCUGCCCAUCCUACAUAUUCUUCACGAUUAUAACUACGUUACGAAAGUUCUUUCAAUUGAUUUUUGAUUUUAUUUCAAUGAUGACAAUGUUGAAAAAAAAGCUUGACAGUAAAUAAUGCUACAGCUGGUUAAAUAUAAACUGAAAACUUCUUGUUUCACGUUUAAUGGAUAUUAAUCAAUUCAGAAUUAAAAACAAAAAAAAAAAAAAAAACAAUCUUUCAAUGAACCAAAUAAAAAUAUUUUAGGCGAUGUUUAAAUUUUUUAUACGAUGUUAUUAAAAUAUGAUCGUGAAGCGUAAAACAAUCCCUUCCCAUUAUUCCUCACUACCAUACAACAAGCUUAUUCAUAUAUCCGUACAAACUUCUAGGCCCAAAGUUCACCGACAAAAUAACAUAAAAUAACAUAAAAACAUUUUCAAGUUUCUUAGUAAACUAUUGUUUAAGAAAAAAAAUACGUUUAUUUUGUCGAUGAACUCGGGCCUAAAUGAGAAGUGAUGAAAAAUGUUUAGUCAAUUGCCUGAUUUCAAGAAAACUUUCCAUUCUAAAGAGAGGGGUUAUAACUUACUGGCUUUAAUAAAAAAAUUUACAACUGCCCUGUGUUUUAAGUUAUGAAUCUUACUAAAUUUACUAAAUGUACCCGUGUGCAUUGUAACGAACACUGCAUAUUAUUUUUAUUUAUUUUUUGUGCCUACCUAUCUGUAAUUUUUCUGUAAUCUGUAAUUUUUCGCUAAUAAAUAAAUAUUUUAUUUUAUUUUAUUUUAUUUUAUAUUAUUUUAUUUAAAAAAAAUACUUAUUUGUUCCAUUUUCAUCAAUCACUUCUCAUUUUAAAAACAGUAUUGUAUCAUUACAUCAAAUUAUUUAUGAAAAAUCCAUGUCUCUUCAUACAUAUUUCAUAUUCACAUAAUAUAUCAAUUUAAGUAUUUUAUACCAUGGUAAAGCGCGUGGUGGCUUUUAAGAGCUUAUUUAUCAUAAAAGUAUGUAUUAAAUACAUUAUAUUUUUAUAUCAAGGGUCCGAGUUUUCAAUCGCUCUAUUCAACUUUUAUUUGAUUAAUAAAAUUAAUGUCAUUCUGACAGAUUUUGUGAAGAAAUUAUGUCAAACUCUCAUUUUAAUUUUACAUUUAAAAGUUUGUAGACGCUUGAAAAAUCGGUUCUGAGUCAGGGUAAGUGUCCAAUAAGGUUGGGUAGUUAUUAAUAAAAUUAGCUGUAGUAUAUUUUGAAAUUAAUUAUUUGGCAUAAGAUUAGCUCCCUCUAAAUUAAAUGGUGGUGGACACAUAUUCUGGCACACAGUUAUAUGUUAUUUCGUUUAUCAUUGAAGACAUCACUUCAUAACAUUAAACAUAUUUAACUUUUCAAUAAUAUAUUGCCCUAAUUAUUAUUGCUUCAUAUUAUAAAGAAGUAUUAAAAACCAUAAGUAUUUGUAUUCGCAUGUUGUAGUCCUGUGUCUGAGUAUUAAGUGUGUACCUAGUCUUAUAAUGCUCUCAUAUAACUUACAAAUAUAUUAUUAUGAUAUUGAUGGUGCAUGUGAUUUAAUGGUCAGGAUGAGUAAACAGUAGUUUUGCGUUCAUUUCUAUCCGAUUUUUUUAAACCCUUUUUUUGUUAAAUCCGGGUGACGAACACAGGUUUUUUAAACGGUUUUAUUUUUUUAUCCCCAUCCGGGAACGGGUAGUUUGUCCCCUCGGGGCGCAGGUCGAAGGCCGGAUCUUGAGGAUCUUGGGGUUAAAAUAUAAAACUGUUAUUUUCUGUAGAUCAAACCACUUGAAUAUAUUUGGAUAUUCAGCUGAAAUAUGGGUUUCCCAGUGAUGUUAAAAAGUUCCCAAUGAGGGUUUUUGAAAUUUUUUCUGCCACCGGGUGGCGCCACGUAUGCGUCUGGUCCAAACAGCUGUCAAAUAGUAUGGAAUUGUAGGUGCCGAACUUAUUGUUUAUUGAAAUUCUGUUAUAUUGGAAGUGUUAUUGAUUUUAUUAUGGACUACGGUCAGAAUAAGGUUUCCGAACUAAAAAUUGAGCUAAGAGAAAGGGUGCAAAAGUCACUGGUACUAAGGAAAAGCUUGUUGAAAAUUUUUUUAACACAAUAUGAUUUAGUUUUUUUUAUUUACUCAACCGCAAUAGUAAAACAAUAAUGCAGUGCUUUAAUUAUAAAAUAAAAAAAACACAAAAAUCGUUCACUAUUCAUAGUAAAGAUAAGCACUUUGACAGUUAUCUGGACCUGACGACUCGGUGCUGCCACCUGGUGGACGCCAUUUUACGAAACCCUCAUUUACCUGUUUGCCCAUCCUGACCCAACCUGUAUGCUUUAAUAAUAGUUGUUACCUUAACCCGCUAAGUAUAUUUAGUAUACGUAAGUUAUAUUUAGUUGUGUAAGCAGUAUCACUCCCGUAGUCCCAUCCUUUGUCCGAACUCCCAAAGCAUGUUUGGAAGAUCGACUGUUGAAGCGACGGACCCGAACGCGUGGCGGCUGGGUCGGAUAGAGGAGGCGGAGCACGAGACGCCCGUGUGAGGCCGCGCCCUGCACGUCGCCGUGCGCGCGCACCACAAGCGCGCACGACGGUAGACGUGCACGACAUGUAGGCACUACUGGACUGUGUGACAGGUGACGUGGCAACCCGCGCUCCAUAUAAGAAUACCCGUGACUCGAUACCAUCGGUGUGAUGCGUUCCAUUCAAUAGUCGAUUUUGUCGACUCGGAUACUUUCACUUGCGAAUUAUAUCGAAUAAUUCGAUUUUAGUGAUAAGGUUACAGUUUAAGGUCAAAAAUUUCUUGGAGCCAUUGUGAACUUAAUGAAUCGAUUAUGAUGUUAGUCGAUAAAAAAUACCUAGUCAGUAAAUUGAAGUGGUUGAAUAAAAUCUUUACCUCUACAUAAUCGUUAAUGCAUAAUAGUUUAAUCGACUAAUUCGACUAUUAAAUUGAACGAAUUGUGACUUGUUCAACUUUUUACAUGCCAGGGAAACAUCGUUACUUUGAUCUUAAUAUUGAAGUAUAGUGACAAAGUUUACAACGAUGGGUCUCUGCCAUGUAAACAAUGAUUAUUUAAAGUAUAUCUUACAAAUGAUCUGAAACGAAAUAGCACAUUGAAAAAAAGACUAGAAUCAUUAUUUUGUGUAUACUAUUUAUGUAGAUAGAUUAUAACUAAAUAUUGAAUCGAUAUGACGUCGUAUUGUCCCCAAUAAAGUAAAUAAACGAGAGGUUAUAUUUAAAUAAAUGUUUUGUGUAAAUACAUUAUAAUAUGAUAUGAUGAUGAUAUUGUAUAGAGAUUGAGAAAUUGUGUGUACAAAAUAUGUAUUCUACUCGAUUCGUAGUGGCCAUGUUGUGGAAACAGAGUCUAUACUUACAACCUUCUAAAUCUCACAGUUUUAUCAACUUGUAGUAGUUUCCAAGCUUAAACAUAUCUAUAGGCUACUUAUCUAUUAGGCUAUAUGUAUGUAUGUAAUUUUACUGUAGGUGAUUUUUGUUUUAUUUAUUUUCAAUAGAGAUAUAACGUAAGAGUUUAUCUGGCAGCUGAUAUAAGUGCAGGUCACCGAUAUCAAGUUAAUAUGUGCAAAUAAUGCAUAAUUAUAGAGUUAUUUGGUUAUUUUUAUUUUUCACAUAAAUUACCCAACAGCAGAUUAUAAACUUGCCAUUAAGUUCUGUUUCAUUAGAUUGUAAUCCUAAAAUACACCUAAAGUAUGAAUGCUAUAAAACUGUGAUUUUUUCAAGGGAAUGAUACUGCAACGAUUCCUCUCAUAAUGACUUCUAUCCCUGUAAAACACCACAAGUUAUCUUUUGACGAUAUAAGCCACAUAAUAAAAAUGUACCUGAUAAUCAUUUGUUGUGAAGAAACUUGUCGAGUGGACAAUAAGAGUUUAAAGCCGCUGGAAGCGCUGCACUGACCUUAAAAUAGUUUGAUUAUAUUAUAUCAAAUAAUAAAUUAGUAUUUAGCAUAUGCAGCGCAAACAGCGGCUUUAAAACAAAACUAUCAUUGAUCUUUGUAAGUCACAAAUUAAACAAGCAGGCCUUAAAUAAUUGCAAUAGAAUGUUACCAUAGAGUUGCAAAACUGACUAAGAAUUGAUGUCAUUUUCAAUCUUAUUUCUAUAAGAAUAAGGUCGGAAAUAUUUUAAACCGGUUGUAGCGUUUAGCAGUUUUGCUCAUAAAGUGUAUCUUAAUCACGAAAUAGGGAAUGACCACAUUAAACUGAAAUAUUGACCUGAUUAUAAUAUUGUUGUACAAAUUGUUGGUGGUUAUCGAACAAUGCACACUCAAGAUGUCUGGACACAUCAAUUAGUCGUUAAUUAUUAUUUCCUAAAGCAAUAAGUACAGUUUUAGAGAUACUGAUUGGCUGUGUCUGGCAAGUUGACAUACUGAA
rnacentral:misc_RNA from 1 species